UACGUAGGGCGCAAGCGUUGUCCGGAAUCAUUGGGCGUAAAGGGCGCGUAGGUGGCCUGGUCAGUUCGUGGUGAAAGCGCGGGGCUCAACCCCCGCGUCGGCCAUGAAUACUGCUAGGCUUGAGCACUGUAGAGGCAGGCGGAAUUCCGGGUGUAGCGGUGGAAUGCGUAGAGAUCCGGAAGAACACCGGUGGCGAAGGCGGCCUGCUGGGCAGUAGCUGACGCUGAGGCGCGACAGCGUCGGGAGCAACAGGGAUGACAGAAACCGUAGGUAGAUCCAGGAAU
rnacentral:rRNA from 1 species